GAUCUUCAACUUUCAUGUUGGGAAAAAUUUAAUUUGAAGCUUUCUUGAUGAUGUAAACUUGAGUUGAAGUUGGUCCAAAACCUUUCCAUUUUUGGAAACUUUCAAAUUACAGGUCACCUACUAUUUUUGGAAAGUCUUGAUCUGACCUCAAAUUCUUUAAUGUUGAUGUUUGAAAUGUCAAAUGAGACUUGUUUGCACAUGAA
rnacentral:lncRNA from 1 species